UACUUUGAUAUGUUAUAAUCGAUGUUAUUGUCACAAAUGCGGGAUCAGCUAUGUCCGAAAGCUUGAUCAGGGCCCGGGAACAAUAGUCGAUCGUGUUUAUUGUGUUGAAACAAUUUAUCGGAACUUGAAUAUGAAAAUAAAUUCUUAUUAUCAUCAUGAUUGCUUUUAGAAAAAAGAAACAUAUUUAUUUGUAAAAACUACAAACUUUCUUGAAUUUUGGUUUCUUCCUUUCCUUUUGGCUAUCUGGGGAUUUGAGCGGGAGGUGAUUUUCAUCGCUUCCCAGUUUGCUUUUGAUGUACUUGUGGAUUCGGUCCAUGAAUGGCUCGUAGAGGGAGAGGUCGCUUCCUAUUUGUCGAAGAACGUAAUCUGAAAUCGCAUGUGGCCAGGGCGGUAAGUUAUCGUAAGUCUCAAUCUCUUCUGCGGUUAGCUGUGCAUUGAAAUCGAUGGAGGGAGAUGGUAGUGUGAGAGACGGAGAGGCUGGGGGCUUUAGUGUAUAGAUCAAAAGAUCAUCUGGAUGAGGUGAAGAAUCCGUUGAGCUCAUGAUAUUCUUUUCGAUAUAGUUAAAGUCUUUGGAGGCUCUUUGGAUUUUU
rnacentral:lncRNA from 1 species